CUUCCGUUAGGGGAACCUGCGGAAGGAUCAUUACAGAGUUCAUGCCCGAAGAAGGGUAGACCUCCCACCCUUGUGUAUUAUUACUUUGUUGCUUUGGCGAGCUGCCUUCGGGCCUUGUAUGCUCGCCAGAGAAUACCAAAACUCUUUUUAUUAAUGUCGUCUGAGUACUAUAUAAUAGUUAAAACUUUCAACAACGGAUCUCUUGGUUCUGGCAUCGAUGAAGAACGCAGCGAAAUGCGAUAAGUAAUGUGAAUUGCAGAAUUCAGUGAAUCAUCGAAUCUUUGAACGCACAUUGCGCCCCUUGGUAUUCCGGGGGGCAUGCCUGUUCGAGCGUCAUUUCAACCCUCAAGCUUAGCUUGGUAUUGAGUCUAUGUCAGUAAUGGCAGGCUCUAAAAUCAGUGGCGGCGCCGCUGGGUCCUGAACGUAGUAAUAUCUCUCGUUACAGGUUCUCGGUGUGCUUCUGCCAAAACCCAAAUUUUUCUAUGGUUGACCUCGGAUCAGGUAGGGAUACCCGCUGAACUUAA
rnacentral:misc_RNA from 1 species